GGACUACUCGGGUUUCUAAUCCUGUUUGCUCCCCACGCUUUCGUGCUUCAGUGUCAGUAUUAGGCCAGGUAGACGCCUUCGCCACUGGUGUUCCUUCCGAUCUCUACGCAUUUCACCGCUACACCGGAAAUUCCACUACCCUCUCCCUUACUCAAGUUUCGCAGUCUUAGCUGACAGGCCCAGGUUAAGCCCGGGGAUUUUACAGCUAACUUACAAUACCACCUACGCACCCUUUACGCCCAGUAAUUCCGAUUAACGCUUGCACCCUCCGUAUUACCGCGGCUGCUGGCAC
rnacentral:rRNA from 1 species